UGCUUGUAUAGAUGCCUUUGUGUCAUGGGAUAUCGAGAAGCAUUUGAUUUGAUGCUGUUAUAUCACAUACAAGCUUUUUUCUUAUUGUUGUUCUAUGAAUGUGGAAGGAGUCGAAGUUACUUCAAUUUGCCACAUUCUUCUUAAAGAUCUUAUUUAUUCUACAGAUGUGCUCGUGGCAGCCCCAAACGCCAGUCAUUGUACCAGAGAGUCGGACAUUUCCAGGUUCCGUACUUAGAAGAUCCAAAUACCGGGGUGCAGAUGUUUGAGAGCGCAGAGAUUGUGGAAUAUUUACGUGCAACUUACGCUCUCUAACGAGUUAGGCUUGCUGUAAUCUUUUUCUGUUUUGAUUUCUCCAAGCCACUGCUGUAUAAUAUUUUGGUCUAUCUGGUUUAUCUCUGAAGCAACACCUACACUUUCUGAUUCACAUAGCAGGGGAAGCUUGAACUUGCAUUUCACUGGAAAAAUUGUGUCCAUAAAGAAUUUGGGGACUUAUGUAGUAUAAAGUAUAAACCAACAGUGAUCUUAUAAUUUCUGCAGAAAUAAUAGAACAAGAAAGUAUGUCUGUCUGUUCCAUUCA